GAUGAACGCUGGCGGCGUGCCUAAUACAUGCAAGUCGAGCGAACAGAUGAGGAGCUUGCUCCUCUGACGUUAGCGGCGGGCGGGUGAGUAACACGUGGAUAACCUACCUAUAAGACUGGGAUAACUCCGGGAAACCGGAGCUAAUACCGGAUAAUAUAUUGAACCGCAUGGUUCAAUAGUGAAAGACGGUUUUGCUGUCACUUAUAGAUGGAUCCGCGCCGCAUUAGCUAGUUGGUAAGGUAACGGCUUACCAAGGCAACGAUGCGUAGCCGACCUGAGAGGGUGAUCGGCCACACUGGAACUGAGACACGGUCCAGACUCCUACGGGAGGCAGCAGUAGGGAAUCUUCCGCAAUGGGCGAAAGCCUGACGGAGCAACGCCGCGUGAGUGAUGAAGGUCUUCGGAUCGUAAAACUCUGUUAUUAGGGAAGAACAAAUGUGUAAGUAACUAUGCACGUCUUGACGGUACCUAAUCAGAAAGCCACGGCUAACUACGUG
rnacentral:rRNA from 1 species